rnacentral:rRNA from 1 species
GACGAACGCUGGCGGCGCGCCUAACACAUGCAAGUCGAACGAGCGAGAGAGAGCUUGCUUUCUCGAGCGAGUGGCGAACGGGUGAGUAACGCGUGAGGAACCUGCCUCAAAGAGGGGGACAACAGUUGGAAACGACUGCUAAUACCGCAUAAGCCCACGGGUCGGCAUCGACCAGAGGGAAAAGGAGCAAUCCGCUUUGAGAUGGCCUCGCGUCCGAUUAGCUAGUUGGUGAGGUAAUGGCCCACCAAGGCGACGAUCGGUAGCCGGACUGAGAGGUUGAACGGCCACAUUGGGACUGAGACACGGCCCAGACUCCUACGGGAGGCAGCAGUGGGGAAUAUUGCACAAUGGGGGAAACCCUGAUGCAGCGACGCCGCGUGGAGGAAGAAGGUCUUCGGAUUGUAAACUCCUGUUGUUGGGGAAGAUAAUGACGGUACCCAACAAGGAAGUGA